CACCGUUGCCCCAAUGCCCGAGCCUCGUGUCGGGCACCGAGCAGGGCGAAUGUUGGCUUCCCGGGAGCAAGGUCUCACGGUUGGUUGAAAAUUGAGCCUGUGGUGGAGGACGCCGCGAUGGACGGUGGUUGAUUUAAAUCUCGAGACCGUUGUGCGCGUCACCCCUACCGGAUUUGGGACUCUGUGACCCAUGUGAGCGGCCGGUCGCCAAAGAAGGGA
rnacentral:rRNA from 1 species